rnacentral:rRNA from 1 species
GCAGUGGGGAAUUUUGGACAAUGGGCGCAAGCCUGAUCCAGCAAUGCCGCGUGUGUGAAGAAGGCCUUCGGGUUGUAAAGCACUUUUGGCGGGAACGAAACGGUUGGGGCUAAUAUCCCUGGCUAAUGACGGUACCCGCAGAAUAAGCACCGGCUAACUACGUGCCAGCAGCCGCGGUAAUACGUAGGGUGCAAGCGUUAAUCGGAAUUACUGGGCGUAAAGCGUGCGCAGGCGGUUAUGCAAGACCGAUGUGAAAUCCCCGGGCUCAACCUGGGAAUUGCAUUAGUGACUGCAUGGCUAGAGUGUGUCAGAGGGGGGUAGAAUUCCACGUGUAGCAGUGAAAUGCGUAGAGAUGUGGAGGAAUACCGAUGGCGAAGGCAGCCCCCUGGGAUAACACUGACGCUCAUGCACGAAAGCGUGGGGAGCAAACAGGAUUAGA